CCCAUUUUUCUUACCAGAAAAUCAAAACCCCGUAUUAAAAAAUUUGUUUUUAAAAGGCACUCGAGGAAAAAUCUCCAACCGAAACCGAGGAGGCGAAAAAUCCAAGACAGGAAAACUUCUGGAUAAAUUCCGAAAUCAUCUUCCCCUGGCCGAAUCUUUCAUAGAUUCAAGACCAAACAUUUUGCUCCUUUGAUGGAUUAGAGAGAGAUUGAUAUGAAGAUUCAGUGCAACGUGUGCGAGGCGGCGGAGGCGGCGGUGCUCUGCUGCGCCGACGAGGCGGCUCUCUGCCGGAGCUGCGAUGAGAAGGUUCACGCCGCCAAUAAACUCGCCGGAAAACACCAGAGGGUCCCACUCUCCGGCUACUCCUCCUCCAUGCCCAAAUGCGAUAUUUGCCAGGAAGCUUCUGGAUUCUUCUUCUGUCUUCAAGACCGAGCAUUGCUAUGUCGGAAAUGUGACGUUGCAAUACAUACGGCUAACACCCACGUUUCCUCCCACCAGCGGUUUCUUCUCACUGGAAUCAGAGUCGAGCUUGAAUCUUCAGACUCUGUUCCUUCUUCGUCUUCCGCGGCAAAGUCGCAAUCUAACGGCAAAACUACCGGAACAAAGUCCUCGCCCGCCGUCUAUGGAGCUGCCGAGCCGCAAAAGAUGUCACUGGUCUAUGAUCAUCCCCAAGGAGCUGCUGAUUCUGUUGAUGACUUCAUUCUGACCAAGGCUCCUUUCCCUAGUAGCGGUUCAGCGGCUGGAAGUAUUCCUCAGUGGCAACUAGACGAUAUUCUCGGGCUAACCGACUUUGACCAGAGCUUCGAGUAUAUUGACAAUAACAGGUUAACCAAAGCGGAUACCAGCAGAAGAGGAGAUUCAGACAGCUCGUCGAUGAUGAGAUCAGCAGCAGCAGAAGAAGAAGAAGACGAAAUGGAAGACGAGGAAUGUGUAGGAAAAGAGACAUACGAGAGUUCUUGGGCCGUGCCGGAGAUUCCUUCGCCACCAACGGCGUCAGGGUUGAACUGGCCAAAGAGUUAUUACCCGCGUCGUGGACACUCGGAUGUAGUGUUUGUUCCCGACAUUUCGUCCACAUCAAGCGUCCAGACAUGUUCGGUUUCGAGUUACCCGAGCAGAAGAGUCGGGAAACGAAGAAGAAGACGGUUCUAAGUUUGGGUUUUGCUUCUGCAACAAAUGCAAACCCAUGUUUUUGAUCCUUGGAAGUAACGGAUCCGAUACAUUUUGCAGGAGUCGGAUAUCCGAGUUUCAGAUACUUGAGCUUGAGGCAAGGAUCCGGGUAUGGUUUGAGUACCCACGGAUUUUCGGGUUAUCGAGGAGACGAGGUAGCAACGGGGCGAGAAAUGAUGAGACAAGGUAAACGACAACUUUCGGUGAGAGGACGAGGUCACAAGAAUCAAUGAUCGACAGCGAGAUGAACGACGGAAGCAAGAAGUCGGGUCUCCGUAUUCAUUCCACCGAUAGCGAAUAUCCGAAAUUUCGAGUUCUCGCAUCAACCUCUAUAUUGACCAGCUAUUACAUGUUCUACCAAAAUCUCGAAGUAACAAUUUCUUCCUCAAAA